CCUACGGGUGGCAGCAGUCGAGAAUCUUUCACAAUGGGGGAAACCCUGAUGGUGCGACGCCGCGUGGGGAAUGAAGGUCUUCGGAUUGUAAACCCCUGUCAUGUGGGAGCAAUUUAAUAAGAUAGUACCACAAGAGGAAGAGACGGCUACCUCUGUGCCAGCAGCCGCGGUAAUACAGAGGGCGCAAGCGUUGUUCGGAAUCACGGGGCGUAAAGCGUGCGUAGGCUGUUUCGUAAGUCGUGUGUGAAAGGCGCGGGAUCAACCCGCGGACUGCAAAUGAUACUGCGAGACUAGAGUAAUGGAGGGGGAACCGGAAUUCGCGGUGUAGCAGUGAAAUGCGUAGAGAUCGGGAGGAACACUCGUGGCGAAGGCGGGUUCCUGGACAUUAACUGACGCUGAGGCACGAAGGCCAGGGGAGCGAAAGGGAUUAGAUACCCGGGUAGUC
rnacentral:rRNA from 1 species